rnacentral:rRNA from 1 species
UACGAAGGGGACUAGCGUUGUUCGGAAUCACUGGGCGUAAAGCGCACGUAGGCGGAUUUGUAAGUCAGGGGUGAAAUCCCGGGGCUCAACCUCGGAACUGCCUUUGAUACUGCGAAUCUUGAGUCCGAUAGAGGUGGGUGGAAUUCCUAGUGUAGAGGUGAAAUUCGUAGAUAUUGGGAAGAACACCGGUGGCGAAGGCGGCUCUCUGGACCGUAACUGACGCUGAGGCGCGAAAGCGUGGGGAGCAAACAGG